UACGUAGGGUGCAAGCGUUGUCCGGAAUUAUUGGGCGUAAAGAGCUCGUAGGCGGUCUGUCGCGUCUGCUGUGAAAACCUAGGGCUUAACUCUGGGCGUGCAGUGGGUACGGGCAGGCUAGAGUGCGGUAGGGGAGACUGGAAUUCCUGGUGUAGCGGUGAAAAUGCGCAGAUAUCAGGAGGAACACCGGUGGCGAAGGCGGGUCUCUGGGCCGAUACUGACGCUGAGGAGCGAAAGCGUGGGGAGCGAACAGG
rnacentral:rRNA from 1 species